rnacentral:sRNA from 1 species
GGAACCGGCUCGCGAGCGCAGCUAUGGCUGCUGGCGUACCCUGUGCGUUGGUCACCAGCUGCUCCUCCGCCUUCUCCGGAGACCAGCUGGUCCAACAUAUUCUUGGAACAGAAGAUCUUAUUGUCGAAUUGACUUCCAAUGAUGCUGUGAGAUUUUAUCCCUGGACCAUUGAUAAUAAAUACUAUUCAGCAGACAUCAAUCUAUGUGUGGUGCCAAACAAAUUUCUUGUUACUGCAGAGAUUGCAGAAUCUGUCCAAGCAUUUGUGGUUUACUUUGACAGCACACAAAAAUCGGGCCUUGAUAGUGUCUCCUCAUGGCUUCCACUGGCAGAAGCAUGGUUACCUGAGGUGAUGAUCUUGGUCUGCGAUAGAGUGUCUGAAGAUGGUAUAAACCGACAAAAAGCUCAAGAAUGGUGCAUCAAACAUGGCUUUGAAUUGGUAGAACUUAGUCCAGAGGAGUUGCCUGAGGAGGAUGAUGACUUCCCAGAAUCUACAGGAGUAAAGCGAAUUGUCCAGGCCCUGAAUGCCAAUGUGUGGUCCAAUGUAGUGAUGAAGAAUGUUUCUUGGACAUUGACAUUCAAAGGUCAAAUAUUUAAUCUGAAAAUCUAGUUAUUAAAAACGUAAGAGGUGAAGUGCAUUCCUUCCUGCCCUCCACCCAGAUAAAUCGGAUUUGUUUUCUAUAUGGGAAUUCAUGAUUUAAUAUGCGAUUAUUAUCAGUCUGAACAACUUACUUGGUUAUAGGAUAUCUUCAUAACUUUUUUCCUUUAGUCUAUUCUUAAAAGUUAGUAAUACACAAGCAACCAAAGAAAA